rnacentral:rRNA from 1 species
UACGUAGGGUGCGAGCGUUGUCCGGAAUUAUUGGGCGUAAAGGGCUCGUAGGCGGUCUGUCACGUCGGGAGUGAAAACCCAGGGCUCAACCCUGGGCCUGCUUCCGAUACGGGCAGACUAGAGGUAUGCAGGGGAGAAUGGAACUCCUGGUGUAGCGGUGAAAUGUGUAGAGAUCCCGAGGAAUACCAGUGGUGAAGACGGCGCCCUGGGCCGAUACUGACGCUGAGAUGCGAAAGCAUGGGGAGCGAACAGG